rnacentral:rRNA from 1 species
UCCUACGGGAGGCAGCAGUGGGGAAUUUUGGACAAUGGGGGAAACCCUGAUCCAGCCAUCCCGCGUGUGCGAUGAAGGCCUUCGGGUUGUAAAGCACUUUUGGCAGGAAAGAAACGUCAUGGGUUAAUACCCCGUGAAACUGACGGUACCUGCAGAAUAAGCACCGGCUAACUACGUGCCAGCAGCCGCGGUAAU